ensembl:lincRNA
GAGUCAAGCACCUACGAAACUUUCUAUGGAGCAAAAAAUGCCAAAGAUGGUUCCUUGGUUUGGAUCAUUGGGAAAUUAUUUUUUGGAUUGGUGCAGUCUGGAGCUUGGUGCUGUUUUGAUGAAUUCAACCGAAUCAGUAUAGAAGUCCUCUCAGUCAUUGCCUCGCAGAUCCUGGCAAUCAAGAUUGCCAAAAGCAGCUAUUCUGUCAGGUUUGUGUUGGCGUGAUUCUAGUGGGCCCAACAGGAGGAGGAAAGACGACAGUCCGGAAAAUUUUAGAGAAAGCAUUGGUAACACUUCCGGUUACUUCUGCCAUGCUUAUGAAAGAAAGGCAAUCUGACUCAAAGAAAAAUUCUCACCACAUUAAGUUUCUAGUCCCCAAACCUUUGCAUUUUUGGUGACUGGAACUUAUAUAAUGAUUAUUAGAGGUUGGAAGGGGACUGGAGAGAUGGCUCUGCAGUUAAGACUCCUGGCUGCUCCUCCAAAGAUCCUGUGCUUCCUUCCCAGCACCCACAUGGCAGCUCACACCUGUCUGUCGCUAUUGUGCCCUCUUCUGGCUUCUAUAGCACAAGCAUGCAUACAAUACACAGGCACACAUGCAGGCAGAACACCCAUGCACAUAAAACAAAAUUAAAUUUUAAAACUAAAAUAAUUGUUAGUCUUUGUCUUUUAGCUAGUUGGUAUACUAUGCUGUGUUUUGACAAAUGUAUUACUUGCUUUUAAAUAAAUAUUAAUUGUCCAUGGAUUCUCAGGAAGCCUCUAUGUACAUGUUUUAAUGCAAUAUAGAAUAAAAUACUCCACUAAG